GGUGAACGAAUUACUUCACCGCUGAAAGCAGGUGCCGAAAGGCUUAAUAUCCCGCCGAGGUGAAGACGUUUAGAUCGCAGGAUCGCCUCCUUUUUAUGAGGAGUGAAAAGCGUCUUUGCCUCAAGGGAAUGUGGCAAAGACGCUUUGAGUUUUAAAAU
rfam:Anaerolinea thermophila TNI-1 DNA, complete genome.